rnacentral:rRNA from 1 species
AACGAACGCUGGCGGCAGGCUUAACACAUGCAAGUCGAACGGGUGUAGCAAUACAUCAGCGGCAGACGGGUGAGUAACACGUGGGAACCUUCCUAGGGGUACGGAACAACUCAGGGAAACUUGAGCUAAUACCGUAUACGUCCGUGAGGAGAAAGAUUUAUCGCCCUUAGACGGGCCCGCGUCGGAUUAGGUAGUUGGUGGGGUAACGGCCUACCAAGCCUACGAUCCGUAGCUGAUCUUAGAGGAUGAUCAGCCACACUGGGACUGAGACACGGCCCAGACUCCUACGGGAGGCAGCAGAGGGGAAUCUUGGACAAUGGGCGCAAGCCUGAUCCAGCCAUGCCGCGUGAGUGAAGAAGGCCUUAGGGUUGUAAAGCUCUUUUACCAGGGACGAUAAUGACGGUACCUGGAGAAUAAGCCCCGGCAAACUUCGUGCCAGCCGCCGCAGUAA